rnacentral:rRNA from 1 species
GGCAACCCUGACGGAGCAACGCCGCGUGUGGGAGGACGGCCUUCGGGUUGUAAACCACUUUUCUCAGGGAAGAAGAACUGACGGUACCUGAGGAAUAAGCCUCGGCUAACUCCGUGCCAGCAGCCGCGGUAAUACGGAGGAGGCAAGCGUUAUCCGGAAUUAUUGGGCGUAAAGCGUCCGCAGGUGGCGAUUCAAGUCUGCUGUCAAAGCACGGGGCUUAACUCCGUUAAGGCAGUGGAAACUGACCCACUCGAGGGUGGUAGGGGUAGAGGGAAUUCCCAGUGUAGCGGUGAAAUGCGUAGAGAUUGGGAAGAACACCGGUGGCGAAAGCGCUCUACUGGACCACACCUGACACUCAGAGGACGAAAGCUAGGGGAGCG